rnacentral:lncRNA from 1 species
GGAAAUGAAGUAAAUAGAUUGUCCCGAAACAAACGAGAGUUGUCUUGUCUAAACCUAAUUUUCUCAUAAAAAGUAAGAAGAGAAAUCGUCUCCCUUCUCAUGUUGAUGAGGAGGUGAGAAAGGGGAAAAAGCCUUCAAUAGCGCAUUUUCCCUCUAAGCUUUCUCUCUUUUUACCAGGAGAAAGAAAAUUUACUUUCGAGCUUUUUCUUGGGAAAAUUAUUUGUUUUUAUCUGCAAACAAAUGAAAGUUACACUACCAAUUAAUCUGAAAAUUCAAAAAAAAAAAAAGGAAAAUUCAAAAUCAGAAAAAAAACCCAGCACCAAUUCAUUUUUGACCUUACAAAAAUUUGNNN